rnacentral:rRNA from 1 species
UACGUAGGUGACAAGCGUUGUCCGGAUUUACUGGGCGUAAAGAGCGCGCAGGCGGUCGUUCAAGUCGAGUGUGAAAGCCCCCGGCUCAACUGGGGAGGGUCAUUCGAUACUGAUCGACUCGAAGGCAGGAGAGGGAAGUGGAAUUCCCGGUGUAGUGGUGAAAUGCGUAGAUAUCGGGAGGAACACCAGUGGCGACGGCGACUUCCUGGCCUGUUCUUGACGCUGAGGCGCGAAAGCUAGGGGAGCAAACGGG